AGCUGUGAUGAGCAUUGCUUACUUCUGACACCUCUUGUAUGAGAAGGGAUUUCCCUUCCUUGAGCAGAUUUAGCAACUCUCUGAGCU
rnacentral:snoRNA from 1 species